rnacentral:rRNA from 1 species
GACGAACGCUGGCGGCGUGCUUAACACAUGCAAGUCGAGCGGAAAGGCCACUUCGGUGGUCCUCGAGCGGCGAACGGGUGAGUAACACGUGAGUAAUCUGCCCCUCACUUUGGGAUAGCCACCGGAAACGGUGAUUAAUACCGGAUAUGACCAUAUGUCGCAUGGCGUGUGGUGGAAAGUUUUUCGGUGAGGGAUGUGCUCGCGGCCUAUCAGCUUGAUGGUGAGGUAAUGGCUCACCAUGGCUUCGACGGGUAGCCGGCCUGCGAGGGUGACCGGGCACACUGGGACUGAGACACGGCCCAGACUCCUACGGGAGGCAGCAGUGGGGAAUAUUGGACAAUGGGCGGAAGCCUGAUCCAGCAACGCCGCGUGAGGGAUGACGGCCUUCGGGUUGUAAACCUCUUUCAGUACCGACGAAGCGAAAGUGACGGUAGGUACAGAAGAAGCACCGGCCAACUACGUG